rnacentral:tRNA from 1 species
GCCGGAGUGGCGGAAUCGGCAGACGCGGCGCACUCAAAAUGCGUUGGGGUAGCCCCCCGUGAGGGUUCGAGUCCCUCCUCCGGCACCA